rnacentral:rRNA from 1 species
GACGAACGCUGGCGGCGUGCCUAAUACAUGCAAGUAGAACGCUGAAGAGAGGAGCUUGCUCUUCUUGGAUGAGUUGCGAACGGGUGAGUAACGCGUAGGUAACCUGCCUUGUAGCGGGGGAUAACUAUUGGAAACGAUAGCUAAUACCGCAUAACAAUGGAUGACCCAUGUCAUUUAUUUGAAAGGGGCAAAUGCUCCACUACAAGAUGGACCUGCGUUGUAUUAGCUAGUAGGUGAGGUAACGGCUCACCUAGGCGACGAUACAUAGCCGACCUGAGAGGGUGAUCGGCCACACUGGGACUGAGACACGGCCCAGACUCCUACGGGAGGCAGCAGUAGGGAAUCUUCGGCAAUGGGGGCAACCCUGACCGAGCAACGCCGCGUGAGUGAAGAAGGUUUUCGGAUCGUAAAGCUCUGUUGUAAGUCAAGAACGAGUGUGAGAGUGGAAAGUUCACACUGAGACGGUAGCUUACCAGAAAGGGACGGCUAACUACGUG